GCGACUUUGAAUUCUGGUUCUGCUGCUGCAACUGAUCUGUUCUGUUGCUCCUUCCUUUGUCCAACCAUGCUUAGUCUUCUGUUCCACUUGAUUCUCAUGCCACGCAUCUCCCAGUUUGUGCCUCGCUUCAUCCGUCCAUUAGCCUCAUGCCCUCUAAUACCACCAAAUUAGGCCAUUUCCUGCACUUUUUCACCAAAAAGAGUUUUAAGUAAAUUCAAUGCAAAAUAACAUGAAAUGCAACUAAAAACACACUAAAAUGUACUUGAGAUGGGCAUAGUUCGCGUGAAUUGGUAUUCAAUAAGUAGGUAUAAAACCCACUUAUCACACCGUCAUGUCGAAUGUCCUGACGAUCAGUCUGUUGGUUGCGGUUGGUCCCGUGAUAGUUAGAGCAUUGCCACCGCUGUUUUCCUUAUUCCUUCCUGUUCCUGCCCCUCCAGAUCCUUUCUUGGGACAGUCCCUAGCCAAGUGGUCCUUCGACCCACAUGUGAAACAAGCGCCCUUCUUUGGGUUAAGGCAGUUAAGUGCAUGUGGCCUUCUUGACCACAAUUGUAGGAAACUCUUUUCCCUUUCAUAUAGACCCCCAAGUGAGCUUUCCCGCAGGUCAGGCAUGCUUCAAUUCUCUUCUUUUGAUCUCCUUGAUGAUUUCCAGUUGACGAGCUAUCAGUCCACCUCCUUUUCUGGUUGUUACUUCCUCCCGUGUUGCUGCCACUAGCCUUGUUAUUUCCUUCAUUUUCACUCUUCUUCUUUUUCUGAUCCUGAUUGUACUUGUUCACCGCAUCUCUCCCACCUUCGGCAAGGAUGGCCUUCUCCAGUACUCCAGCAAAAGUGUUCAGCUGAAACAUUAACACUUUGCUAUAUAACCAUGGCUUCAAUCCCUGUUCAAACCUUCUUGCUUUCCUCUCAUCCGGGUGUACUUGAUACGUGGUGAACCUAGCCAACUCAUUGAAUUUUUCCACAUAGUCUGAUACGGACAUAUUACCUUGCUUUAAUUCCAAAAAUUGUAACUCCAUUUGGUUAUGCGAGUUUGUCGGGAAAUACAUCUCGAAGAACAUCUCCUUAAACCUCUCCUAGGCGAUCACACUUUCUCCUCCACGGACCUUAUUUACUUGCCACCAAUAACUGGCUUUUGAUUUCAGCAUGAACGUUGCGUAGGCGAUUUUCUGGUCCUCUUUGUGUGACGAUCGAGAAAUUUUGUAAUUUAAUUUAAAUAUUUAUUGAAUUAAAUAAAUAUUUUAAAUAAUUUAUUUAUUGAGAAAAAUAAAUAAUUGAUGGAAUUGUGGUGCAAGAAUUUAGUAACUAAAUUGAUUAAAGUUAAUUAAAUUAAAUAAUGGUAAUUUUUAUUUGAAGAUUUAAUUUAAUGAGAUAAUUAAAUUAAAUGAAUUGUUUAAUAUUAAAGAAAAUAAGUAAAUUAAAUAAAUUAAUGUUUAAGUCUAAUUUAUUAAUUAAAUUAGAUAUAUAAUUAUUUAUUAAUCAUAAGUAUAAUUAUAAUAAAAAAAAUUAUAAUUAUUAUAAUUAUAAGUGUAAGCUAAUUAAAUGGGUUACAUGUGUGACAAAUAAAAACUAUAUAAUAUAAAUAUUAUUGAAAUAAUCUAGUAGGGGGAAUUGGUGGGUGGCCAAACAAGGCCUUGUGGCCUUUGGCUUAUUUUAACUGAUACGGACGUAUUGUAUUUUUUUACUUGACGUACGUGGGGGAAGUGGGAGUCAGUUUAUAUGUUUACGUAUAAUUCCUAAAGGCUAAGUUCAGAGAAUUUAGAGAAGAAGGAAACAUAGAGAAUAGAGAGAGAAUCACAGAGAGAAAGAGAAGGGUUUGCUAAUCGUUUUGCUAAAUCAAGAUAUAACCUACUUUAAUUUUAACUGUUAGUUUUAAUAUUACUAUUGGAAGUAUGUUGGAUUGUUGUUGAAUAUAUAUAUAUAUAUAUAUAUAUAUAUAUAUAUAUAUAUAUAUAUAUAUAUAUUGUUCUUGUAGAAUCUAUUAUUGUCAAUAUAUAUACACAACUGUUAAUCAUCAUAUAUGAGUGAUACUUGAUUAUCAAACACGUGAAAUUGGGUUUGAGGAAGAGAAUUGUAAUAACAGUGUAUGUUUAUGUAAUAUGGCUUAAGAAAGUACAAAAUUUCAUGUCUAAUACCUGCUAUAAUCUGCAAAUUUAUGUUAGAUUGUGUUAGUAUGUUAAGAAACGAAAACAACGUAGUUUGAAUCGUGUCAAUUGGUUAAGAAACGAAGUCGUGGCGAUCGAAUUCGCUAAAAGUGUAAAAAGUGAAGAAAUUGGGAAAAUUGUGGUUUUGAUUCUUCAAAAUUGAAUAUAUGUAAUGUUUAUGUAGUUAGAAUGAUGAAUAUCAUGUUUAUAGAUGUUAUUACAAAGUUUUAGUUGUUAAGUUUUAUGGAUUAUGUGGAAAUUAGGUUGAAUUUGGAGUCAGUCAUGUAACAGAGCUGCAGCUGUAGUUUCUGUCUGUGUACGGCGCAGCUGCGCUGGUACCAUAGACAGAAACGGCGUAGCUGCGUCGUAUGGUUUUCUGAAGUCGAGCACCAGCGCAGCUACGCCGGUGCCAAGGCUUGGGGCAGUACAACUGCGUCGUACCCUUAGCCUAGGCAGUGAGUUCUGUUUAUUUGUGGGUUGUAAUACAAGGACUUAAUCUAGUUUGGCAUGCAUGAUAAUGAUGUUAAAACAUAACGUGGACUACAAUAACAGAUUGUAAUGUGAUGUAAUGUAAAGUGUGAAGAUUUUAAGUGAUCAUUUAAGUAAGUUAUGUAAUGAACAAAAAUUGAUGUUUACGAGAGUUAGAGCUGAAUGAUAAAGUUUAUGUUAGACCGUGGUGAGAUUUCAGAUUCGUUAAGGAUGUUAACCAAUAUGGUUAGAUGUCAAGUUAAGGGUAUGAAUUAAUUAAAUGAUGGGUUAAACCCAUAAAGCUAAUGUUGAUACAACUAAUUGUGAUUGCGAUUUCAAUGAUAUGUGUAGGGUAAUUGGCGAAUAUUAUUAUACUUGUGUAGCUUACAUACGAGGCAAGUUCCUUAUUCUAAACUUUUAUUGAGCAAAUCUCUAACUUCAUUCUUUUAUUAAUGAAUGCAAAUUUCAUAACUAUAUUAUCUUUUAUGUCAAGCAAGCUUUUUAUUCCUAAAUUUUACAUUAAAGUUGAGCAGGCCUAUUGAUUCUAUCUCGUGUAUGAUUGUACAAGCUCUUGUAAUCUAGUUCGUUACAUCGAGCGAGUUUCACUUUCCUAAUUCUUGAUAUUGCUCUUUAAAGCAUAUACUGUUUAAAUUCAAUUAUUCAAAUGAGAUUGUUCUAACUCUUUUGAAUGUAGUACUUUGCAUAUAUAUUAUGUCUAUUCAAUUGUAUAUUGUUAAUAUUCCAUCUUUGACUUAAAUAACCUUGUUCAAUUUUAUAUUAUUGCACUGAACCUUCAAGUAGCAAGCAAACUCGUGUUGAUUGAACUAAUCUAUAAUUGAAUAGUGUUCUAAAAUUCUAGAACCACUGAUAAGCUAGUUCCAAAUUAAACUUUCUUUAGUGCAGAAAUUAUAAAUUCAAACUGAGACGAACAACCCUAACAUAGGGGAUUUUGUACGUGUAACAUUUAGAUGUUUGUGCACAAUACAUGGUACACAGGGCUGAUCCCCCUAAGUAGUUAAGAAGGGUUUGUACAGUCUAAAUGACUGUUAAGGUUGGGUAAUAAUACCUAAGUACCGGGGACAUAGUUAGUGGUCUUAAGACCCUCAGAUAUUUAAUUCGAACUUGUUUUAUAUUUUUGAUUCGUAGAACAAGUUCACCAUUGUUCAGCAUUCGUUGUUCAUUAUCAUGUUGUUAUCAUUAUUACUCUUUAUAUCAGUGAGCAAUUGUUUGCUCACUCUUGCAUUUAACAUUACAGCUAAAGUUGAAAAAGUCGAUGAGCCAUCUACUAGCAAAGAAAAGGGCAAGAUGUUUAAGUGUUGAAGAUUUAUGAGAAUUUAUUUAAGUGAAUUAUGUUAUAAGACUUAAUUUAUUUUGUGAUGUAUUUUGCAGACUUAUGUAAUAAUUUAAGGUUAGAUUACCUGGGAUUGUUUUUGAGAUGAUGUAACCCUUUAAGGUGAAAGAUUAUUGUUUAAGUUAUUUUAUAUCUUUAUCCUUUAUUAUGGGUAGUUAGAUGUAAUAAUUUUUGAUAGUGAGCACCAAAUCCUGUGGGAAUGAAGUACCCGGAUUUGAGGGUGUCACACUCUGACUCUGGCGACGUCAAAAACUUUUUCCAUCUCCAUAACCCAAAUUUGAGCUUCUAUCGGGUUCAUGGAGCCUUUAAACUCUGGCGGUCCCACCGCCUUGAAAUCCUUGAACGUCGAAUUUGGUGGAGUUUGAGGUUGAUUUUUAAUCGCUCCAGCCAAUAAGUUUACCAACUGCUGAACGGGAUUAGCAUUGGCUUCAUUGUUGUUGUUUGUCGACCCUUCUUGGGCCGGUUGACAGUUUGGUCUUCUUCUCGGCGGCAUAUUUCUGUUAAAAACAUAUGCUUAAUAGCUCUUUAUUCAAUCCUCUAAACAUUUAAGGCUUAGCUUAAACAUUUAAGCAUAAUAAUCACUGAACACAUUAUCUCAAAUAAACUCUGAUAUUUUAUUUAAAUCAAAAGUUUUAACAUAAUACGAUAAUAUCACUGCUAUUUACAUCGACUACCAUGAGAUAAAGAAUCUUCAGGAUUAAAUCAUCAUAUUCCAUUACUUUAUUUACACUAUAAUUUACAUCAUUAACUACCAUAGAUAUUCACAUAAUUCAUAUUGUUCCUAUCACGACCAUUAUGACGUCGAACAGCUUCUCUGUGCUCUUCUUCCAUGAUACGAAACAUCGUCCUACGACCCAACAUAUACCAUGGUAAGUCCUCGAACUGAAUUGGAUAGUACAUAACUCGAUCCUGGACCUUGUUCACCGCAGUGUUGAAUGCACAAUCCAUUUCCACCAUCUUAACCUUCUUUGCUUGCACUUCUUCCUCGACUGCCUCUACUCUCUAAGAAGUCUGCUCGUAAGCAUCUUCAGCUGACUCGCUUAGCGGACUCCUCUCUUAAAUCAUCCUUCAGCUUUGUAACCUCUGCCACCAGCUCCUCAUUUUCACCCUCUAGGUGAACUAAUUUUCACUCCAUAUUUUCAAGACGUGCAUCAAGCCCUUGGAUUUCCUCAUUCUUCUGACCUAUAGUGGCUUGGCGUGCAUCUGUCAAUCCCUCCAACUCUUUGACUCUAUCCUGCAACUCAAUAUUACAGUCAUACACCUCGUCAUACAUCUGUGCUGCAAUAAAGUUUGGUGGAAACUCAUCUUCCCCCUCUUCUUCCUCAGGAUUCUCCUCUGGAUCAGUCUCAGACACAUGCUCCUGACCCACAACAGUGAUCAAUGGAGAUGGCUCUCUCUGUACCAACUGCUCCCGGACAACGUGAAUGUCUCGGGGCUCCUCCUCUCUAGGUACUCGAGGUUCCUCCUCCCCAGCUUGACUAGAUCCUCCAACAUCCGACAUCCUGACAACAUAGUUUUAAGUUUUAGUUACUAAUCGAUACUCGCGAGCACAUAAGUUUAUCACAUAAGCACACAAAGUCUUUUAUUAUCUUCAAUGAAUUAAGGAAUUUAUUUCUUAGAACUCGAUAAGAGUUUAUCACCACUAUGUUCUCAAUCUCUUAUAAGACUACUACCUAAGGUUUUUCCCCCACCUAAGGUUCAUAACCUACAGCUUUGAUUCCAACCUAUGACACCCCCAAAUCAAGGUACUUCAAUUCCCACGUGAUUUGGUGUUCAUUGUACAAACAUCAUGUGUCUAUCUACCCAUAAAAAAUGAAAACCUUAAAUAGAUAGAAAUAAAUUCUCUCCUUAUGGAGUUACAACAUCUGAUUUUUAAUACAUCAAUCCCAGGUCAUACUAACCUUAAAACUCAAAUGUGAAAACAAGUAAUAAGUCUUACACAAUUUUUAACAUAAGUCUGAAACAUAAAUAUAUCAAAUAAACAACAAGUCUUCAUCACUUGUUGAUCUUGCCCUUGCAUUUGCUAGAAGAAGGCUCGUCAGACCUUUCAUUCUUAACUGUAAUGUUAUUAUUACGCAAGAGUGAGAAUGAUUUCCCACAAAAAUAAUAAUAUAAUAAUAAAAUAAUAACAUGCGAGUGAGUCAAAAACUUCUGAAAUAAGAACUCGACUUUUGAAUCAAGAAUGAAUAACAAGAAUCAAAAGAACUUCUGAGGGUCAUAAGACCUUGAACUAUGUCCUAGGUUGUCAAGUGUUUAUACUUGAAACCUUUAAUAGUCAUAAGACUAUGGACUCUUCUUCUCGUACUUAGGGGGAUCAACCCUUAGUACCAUACUGUGCACAAUAUCUUAACGCUAAAGCAUCAAUAAUACCUUAUAACAGGGUUGUUCAUCUCAGUUUGUCAUUGGAGUCCACACCAAAGGAAGUUUAGUUUGGAUUAACUUCAAGGGAAAUUUAGAGUUCAAUAAUCAUCAACUAAAGAUUAGUUCAAUCAAUAAGGAAUCGCUAUAUAUUUAAGGUUUCAAUGCAAUAUCAAAAUAAAUAAUCAAAUCAAAUAUUGGAUCUCAAUUCUAUACAAUUGAAUGAACUUUGUACAAUAAAAGUAAUACUUCAAAAGAAUUAGAACAUUUCAUUUGGAAUCAUAAACUUGAAUAAUUAAACUUUGAACAGUUCGAAAUAAGGAUACGAAGCUUGCUCAAUAAUAAUAAGAUUUAAGAACUUGCUCAAUGUAAGAAUAGGGUUUGGAAACGUGCCUCGUGCGUAGAUUACACGCUUACUAUUCAUGUUCCUCAACUUAAUCCUACACACAUCAUAUGUAUUCACAACAUUUAUUAGUUACAUUUAUAAGUUUAGCUCCCACUUUCAGUAUAACUUGUUAACUUAGUUUAAGUUCUGCUUAUUACCAUUAUUCACAUAUACAUGACGUCAUCCGAAGUUGAGCUUCGACCGAAGCUGAACUCCAAAUUUUCGAUUUCCGAAGUCAUGACGCCAUCCGGAGCCGAACUUCGGUCGAAGUCGAACUCUGACUCCGAAGACAUAUGACGCCAUCCGAAGUCAAAUUCCGACCGAAGCUGAACUCUGUCUCUGAAGACAUAUGACGCCAUUCGAAGUCAAAUUCUGAUCGAAGCCGAACUCUGACUUCGGGGACUUAUGACACGACUACCCAGUAUCUAAUUCUGUAGUUCGCGAAUGAGCACAGCAAAAAACCAAAUUAGGCCAAAACUUCAUAUAACAAAAAAUUCAAUAUUACCCUUGUGUUUUGAACUUAACAGAAACAUCUAAUGACAUUCUUAGCAUGUUUUUAACAACUUAAAUCACAUAAACAACUGAAUUUGAACUCAUAAUUUUCAUGUUCUUGUCAUUUUUCAAAAAUUCGUCAAAUUUCAUGAAAUCACAAUUUACAGAUUCGUUAUAACACCAAAUCAGUCCGUUUAAGUUUCAUUCUUUUCAUUUUUACAUGUAUGAACAUAAUCAUUCAUCAAUUUACCAAUUAAUAUGAAAUUGAAGCAUGAUUUUUUGUACUUUCAAGCCAUAUUCAUGUGUUCUUACUCUGCAGACUAUAAAACUCCAAUUACGACACAUUUAUAUGAAAUUGAUGGUUUGAAAACAUACAUAGAUGGUAGAAAACAUGUUAUGAUUAUAUAUUAUCAUGUAUAUACACAGACAUCAUCAAUUCAUGCAUUGAUCAUACAAAAAUUAUUUUACAGAGAACUCAAAACAUCCGUUAAUGGAAAAACUCUGAUUCUAGCAUGUUUACAUAAAAUCGAUUACUCUAAUCACAUUAAUAUAUGAUAUAAACAUAUUGUAAACAUAUACUAACAUAUAUAGCAUCAUAUACUCAUCAAUUAUCAAUCUCUUCAAUCACAGAAGACUUUGAGAUAGUUGUUGAUAGAAAAUAUAAGAACGUAAAUUAAAGUUUGGGUUGAAGAGAUUACCCUGCUAGUUUGUGUAUAUGAUUCAAAAAUGAUGAAGUUCUUCUCUACUUCUUCUUCAAUUCACACUUUCUCUCAAUUUUCUCUCUAAACUCUCUAUAUAUUUCUCUAAGUUUCCCUAUGAUGAAUGAUAUAAGAUAUAAGUUAUAAACCUGAUAUAUAAUUAUAUGUAUAGAUAAACUGACAUUGUUGUGGGCAGUUAAUCCCUUAGUGGGUUAACUAGCCAACUCCUCCUAGGACCAUGUUUGGCUAGCCUCAUAAAUACUCUUCCCCACUUAAUUUAAUUAAACUCUUAUCAUAUAAUUUAAUAAUGUCACACUCAAUUAAGCAAUUAAUCAAAUAUCUUAUUUAAUUCAAUAAAAUAGAAUAAUUCCACAUUAAAUCACAUAGUCACAUAAUUAAAUUCUCAUUUAUUAUUUAUAACAAAUAAAUAAAUCUCUAAUUAAUUAUUUAAUUAAUUAGAAGUCACAUAAUUAAAUUCUCAUUUAUUAUUUAUAACAAAUAAAUAAAUCUCUAAUUAAUUAUUUAAUUAAUUAGAAGUCACAUAAUUAAAUUCUCAUUUAUUAUUUAUAACAAAUAAAUAAAUCUCUAAUUAAUUAUUUAAUUAAUUAGAACAACAUUAAAAUUAAGUAAAAAUUCAUUUAAUUUAUUUAUCCCAAUUAAAUUCUCACUUUGAUCUAUAAAAUUACUCCACAUUAAUUUAAUUAAUGUAACACAUUUAAUUAAAUUAAUCUACCACAAUUCUAUCAAAUAUUUAUAUAACUCAAUAAAUGAAUUAACAAAAUAUUUAUUUAAUUCAAUAAAUAUUUAAAAAAAUUAUUACAAAAAUCUCGUUAGUCACACUAAGGGUAUUGUGUGGAGAAUUAUCAGUGAAAAAUAAAGAAAACGAAUGUUCCGAAGAUAUCUUCAGAACUUGUUGUGUUUAUUACAAGUUUGGUGAUAUAGUUCGAGUUAAGGAAUGUGUUAGUCGCAUUUAUAAACGAAGAGGUUUAAGGUGUUCAUGUUCUAUUUGAACAGAUCGGUGAUGAUGUGUGUAGAUGAUAGCUUGGUCUAAUUUAAGGCACAUGAAUAUCUGAAGGAACCCUUAUGAAUAUUGUUCAAAGUAUUAAGGAAAGAGUAUUAGUUUAUGAAAUUCACAGAAUGUGAAUUACGUAGGGAAGUAAGAAGUUCAAAGGUCUUUGACAUAUGCUCAAAAAGUAUGGAGUUAGAAGUAAGGUAUCCAAAAAAGUCGGAUGAAAAGUUAUAUGAAAAAGAAUUGUCUAACUAAUAUAGACAUAAUAAACAAGGCACAAUCUUAAGACUGAGAAAUGUAAGAAGAUAUGGCAUGCUAAUGAUAAAGAAAAAAAGAUUUAUGUUUGAUAAUGAUGGAAAUAUUAAGAAUAUUAAGAGUAAUUUGAGUUCUCGUAAUAUCAGAACUGAAAUAAGAAGGGUCACAAAAUGUGUCCAUUAGUGCUCGCAUUGACAGAAAGUCAAGGUGAAGUGAUGAAGUUGAAAUGAUUUGUAAGAAUUUCAGAAUGGAAAUAGGAGUACAUCACGAGGAAUUUUGUGAUAGGACUUUCAGUAAUGUGAAGAAGGUAAUAUAUGAUAUGAUGUAAAGUAUGUGUUUUAUGAGUCGAUGUAAUUAUAUCGAUUAAAGAUAAGUUUAAGUAAACUUUAUGUCAAUGAAAUUAUUUCCAGACAAAUGACCAGUGAACUCUGUACUAGAAUUGACAGUACUAACACUGCAAUCCAUGGUACAAACAGUUUAUUGAAACUGUUCUAUAUCCUAGACUUUUACUUUAGGAGAUUAACCUAAGUACCCUAUAUUGUGCACAACAUAACAAUCUAAUGACACAUUACAUGUCCUUUGAAAUCAUAUGUCCGAUAUAAUAUGCCCCUUUAAAAGGGUUGUUCGUUCACAACAUUAUAUAUGAGUCCGCACAUCAACAAAAUGGUUUGGAAAACAUUGAAUGAGAUUUUAUGAAUGAAUAAUAUAUCUCAACAGUUGUCUAACCAAAAUAAUGACAUUGUCCUUCUUUCAAUAUUAUCAAAAUAACUGAAUUUGAAGUAUUAAGGUACAAAUAAGUUGAAUAACUCGAAAAGACAACUUUUGAGUUAAAUAUUGCGAUAUAAACUUAUUUAAGAGAGAAAGGUUUGAUAUAUUUGAUAACAUCUUAACUAUUCUCUGAUUGGAAUAAAAAGGUUAUUUAACCUUGUAUUAUUCAUAAAUAAUGAAAAGACAGUUCGAAAUUUAGAGAACCUAUCCAUAUAUGAAUAAUCUCAGAAUACUUGCUCAAUAAAGAGUAAGAUUUAGAUACUUGCCUUGUUUGUAGACUAUUGGUACAAUUUCAACUUAACUUGUGUAUUCUUACAAAUCUUACAUAAUUAUUUGCAUUUACAAGCAUAUUAACCAAAUUGCCAAAUCAUAUAGCUUGUAUGUUCACAUACCACAUAAUCACAGUGAUCAUGUUUUUAGUUUAUGUUUCUAUACAUUUUUCAAAUACCUCAGCCAUGUUCUUACAAUAACCAUUUCUUUAUUUUAUAGGGUUUGACUUAUUCCCAGUCAUAACCCUUAUAUGAUUUUAGUUCAUAUUUCUCUUCUUCUUUCAUGUUAUAAAUAUACUUUGCAAUCUUCUUUAUAAUUUAGGUAUUCAAGGUGAAUACGUAAGGUAUUUCUUGAAUUGAAUAUGAUUUUAUAUCAUAAGGUUAGAACUUUUGUUUCCAAUUUGCUUUGAUAAUCUACAUCUUUACUUUCCUUGUUUUGUAGAUUCAUUUCAAGGCACUAUUACUUUAACCAUUCUUGAUUCCCUUAGUGAUACCCAAGGCAGCCCUCUAACGUUUUAUUUCAGAGUUUGCCAACUCAUUUAUACAAAUUUUGAGUAUCUUGAAGAUUCAUUCAUAUCAACUAGUGUGCUAAGGCUAACAUGUUUUAAGAUUAUACCCAAAACAGUCCCUUUCUAUAUUCUUUUAUGUUUUGGAAUAUUCACAACUUAGUUGAGCAAUUCAUAGCUUCUCUCAAUACUAGUAGAUUUAUUACAUAAUGCAAACAUUUUUGUUGUUUCUUUUUAAUGCCAAAACAGUCACAAUUUAAUCCACUAUUUAGCACUCGAGCUUUGUGUGGCCACACUUGGCCUCAUGGCCCUAUUCGAACCUAGCAGUCAUAUCAUUGGCUUAACAGCCCCAAGUAUAAUAUAACUACUAAGUUAUUUACACAGAAUUAUAACUAUAUCAUUACUUCUAUUUACAUACUUAUUUAGGCAAUUAGUUAAUUUCUCAAAUUACAUUUCUAGUUUAAACUAGACUGCCCAAAACCACCUUAGCAAUAACUCAUAGUUGCAGCCUUCAUUGCCAACUGCUGCUGCCCAUAGGCAGCAGCUGCACCUGCUUUCUUUCCUUGAUUUGACUCCCUAUAAUCUUGGUUCACUUGCACUUCAUUUGAAUGCACUUCAUUUGAACGUUACACAAUUAAUAUAUUCAAGUAUUAUGGUAACUUAAAUUUAUAGCGAAACUAUAACCUACAUGAACCAAAAUGUUAACCAAACUAACCCUUGCUAUUGCGAAUUGAGAAAGUCAACUGCAAAUAGCAGCAGUUCCCAACAAUUAGCUUCCAUUUCUCUAGCUUUUAAUUUAUAAUUUAAUAAUUUUAGUAUGCAAAAAUCUUGGGGUUUAUAUAGGUAAUAUAUUCAACUAUUUAGAAAUAUACACACUAAUUGGUUUAGUUCCUUUAAUGGCAUUGACUGAGAAUUCAAGAGAGUCCCCAGCCCAUGUCAAGCACUGCGCAUGCUGCCAAAUGUCUGCCAAAGGGCAGCAGCUCUUAAACUCCUUUGCUUCAUAUUUUGGUCCCAUCUAAAUUUCUUAAAUUAUCUUACCAAUGGUCAAAACACAUUCUAAACUAACCUAACAUGUAAGUUAAGUCAACUGCCUGGCUCUGCAGUGCAGCGCAGCACAGCGCUGGGCGCUGGCUGCUGCUGCCUGCAGCAGCCCCGGCGAACUCAACAAUUCCCCUCCUUUGCAAAUCUUAUAUACUCUAUUUAGAUAAAUUGUAAAACGACACAUUUAAACAUUCUAACUAUGCUGGCUGAGAGCUCAACGGAGAACCCCUAGCUCGGCCGCUGCAACUGCUGCUGUCAAAGACAGCAGCUCUGCAUCCACAUGGCCAUUUUCUCACUUCAAUACUCCUAAUCCAUAUGAUGGUUUACAUCCAUUUUUUAUACAUAUAGCAUAUAGUAUAAGAGAGUAUGUCUAGAAUUUAUAAAACUUCCGCUUCAAGCUUACUAGGCUGCCCAAUAAAAUAAUUAAAGUUGUCUUGACAUACCACUUUUUAAUUUUUCACUUUGGCUUGAGAUUGAAUUUUGUUUCAUUAUAAUAAGCUUAAACUCUCUAAAUAUCAUGACAUAUGUUUUAUAAACUCAACCGAAGCUCUAGUUUGGUUUAAUAUUUAGAUUUAUAGCCAAAAUAGUUCUUUUAGAACUUUUAUCAAACAGCUGGUGGGCACGGUUUUAAGCUACCAGUUUCACAGCCAUUUGUUUAUGUCACAUAAACAUUUUAUUCUCCUUAUUACUCCUCAGCCCAACCCAUCUCUUCUAUUCAAAUUCAAUCACCAACAGUUCAAAGUUCAGCCAUCUUUUGAAUACCAAAACAGUCCAUAUAGAGCAAUUUAGGCAUGGUUUAGUACCAUUACACCAAAACAGUACCAAGCAUUGAAUUUCAUGCAUUACCACGACAAGUACUUACUAUAUACUAUAUUUUUCAUAGUUAAAAACAUAUGGAUGCAAUACCUUAAGAUUUUGUUCAAAACAGUCUUUAGUAGGCUUUAUACUUUCAUGAAAACAUGGGUUGACAACUUAGUCAAUAACAUAACAUGUUUAUGUGACAUACAAAUAUGAACUAGCUAUUUACAUAAAAUUUAACAUGUAUAUCUUUGAUUUGGAUGGUUUAAAAUAUUAUACACAUAACAGUCCUCAUUUAGUCACUUUAUCAAAUAGAUGGUGGGCAGUCCCCAUACUGUUAUAUUGUACAUAUGCUUCUAGCUCUUUUACUCAAGCCUUAUGGCUUUAAAACAACCAUGAUUCUCCUAUUAGUCAAGCAUAAUGACAACUAUAGCAAACACAACCAUCUUGUACAUAAAAGUUAUUAUAGAAAACCCACAAUCAAUACUAAAGUGUACUAAUAUGGUCAGAAAGCCAUUCGGCCAAAAUAGUCCUAUUUUGCUUAUUGACAAUGGAAUAGAAAAAGAAGGGAAGCAGUUAAAACGAAAUUACCAUACUAGCUUCUAAAAUUUAGGUAUUUUGAUUUUCCUUCCUUUUCAGCCGGAAGCUCUGCAGCAAAAUACAACCCAAAUUCUCUUUGAAUGGUUGGCUGGGAUGAGGGUGAGGGGCUGCCUUUAAUGGCUGAGCUAUCUCCUUUUUCUGGCAGUCCUAUUAGCCUCUAGUUGGUCUCUACACAGCCACCUUAUCAAGCUCUCAGCCGUAAUUUCUAGUCUAGUCUACCCAACCCCUAUUAGAAGUGUCAGACUUCUGCCCCAAUAGUUGCUCUUUCCCUAGUUCUUGGAGGCAAGUCGUUGACUAUCAACUGAUCCCCCAGCCUAACUGAACUAUCACAACUGAACUAUCUUCACCAAAACUCAGUUCUCUAUCUCCCCAUUUGGGUUACCGAAUAUGGCUGAAGAAGGGGCUAGAUUUAGGUUUUGUGUUUGGGCUUAAUGCACAUGUCUAAUGUAGUGAUGACCCAUUACAUUUGGAGAUAAGCUUGAGAAAAUACAUAUAAAAUUUAUUAGGGUCCAAA
rnacentral:lncRNA from 1 species